UUGUGCAUAAGGUCCCUUGGUACCACGGUACCGAGUACAUUAUAAAUGCAUAAGAGAUCCAUUAAGACAGAUUGGGGGUGAGGAAAAAACUGACAAAUUAGGUUUAUAUAGCUGAAGCUCUGCCUUGUGAGAGAGUAUAAACACUUUAUCCUCAGAGAAAGGUUACUUCUUUUCCAGGAAGGAAAAGACCAAAAACAAAACAAAAGCCUGGAGGAAGAGCAAUGCCAGGCCCAACCUGAGGCUGUGGCCAGGAGUUGGCCCAGCCCCACCUGAAAUGCUGUCAGCAUGGCCAAAGUUCACUGUAAUAUGUGCUAUUUAGAGAUGAUCCAGGGUUCAAUAAAUAAGCACAAAUUAAAUAGCAAGAUUAGUGCUUUUCUGAAAUUCAUUGCUGGACAGUAGGUGCCCUGUGGCUGUUCUGUGCAAAAAAAAAAAAUUAAAAAUGGUGGCAACUGGGAGAUUGCUGUACAAUUGCAUGGUAAAGUGUUAAAGUAUUGCCCCAAAAAGUUCAUGGCUAUCACUCUUCAUUACCAAGAAGAGAGGUGCUGGUCAUUGCUUGGUGCUAGAUAAUAAUUUGCAGCUGGGUUAGCGUUGCCAUCAUUCAUUUUCAAAUUCUUUCCUCCUCACUGAAUAACCUUAACAGAAGGUUAAUGCCACGAGCUCUGCCAGGACCUGUUGCAGAUGCUGGCAUGAAUUAAGGAGAUACAGAGGCCCUUUGGGCUACAACCCUCCUGGCCUGUUCUCCCAGCUUUAGGCCCUCAGCAGCCCCGCAUGGCGCUAGGUGGGCUCUCCUGCAGGCCUGGCACAGCUGCUCGCAAUUUAGGUUCCCCCAUACAGGCUGGCAGCCCUCUACCAAACCAGGGCACCAUGUGCCCGUGGCUGUGGAGUGUGAGGGCCAUGCCAGCCAUCUUGCCUGUUUAAGAACUGUCUGUAACAUCCAGCCAGGCACUGUGAAUUGGGUUUCAGUUGUGGGUCCAUGUUAGAAUUUACUACAGUCCCUGGGUGAUCCCCAGUGCUCACAAGUGUGUCAGUAUGCUGGCUCCAGUGUCAAAGCUGAAAUAAAUACCCCAAAGAGCACUCUGGCGAAGGGAUUCAUUCCAAGUUCAUUGUCUUUUGCUUUCUGGUUACAGUCACCAUUCCUUAAAUUUCCAGAGAUCUAGGAUGGUUUCUGAUAUGUUAGUUACAGUUUUGAUGUCUUUCGAAUUUAUGAGGCACUCAGCUUUGGAGCUCAGAAAAGAAAUAAGUCAGAACCAGUCACAAAGCUGUCACUUCACAACUCAUUCCAGCUCAUCCAUCUUUCACUUUCCAUUUGUUUCUCUGCCUGUCAUCUCUGUGGCAAGGAUUCUUGAUCUGAGUUCUUGGCUCAGCUACAGCUCCUCUUUCACUGCACUGGACUCACCCCAAGCCCACUCCAUGGUAGGGUGAUGGGCCGGGGUACAACACCAAGCUGACAGCUGCAGCUGGGAGCACCUCAGUGCCCAUGGUGAGAAUGCAGUCCUCCAUGUCAGCACAGAUUUGCACAGCCCUGCUGCUGUUUCUGCCAAACAAUCCAUGUGUCCUACAGCUCUGCCUAUUGGCUUUUUACCAAAAACCCGUGCCAAAGGGCAGCUGUAACAUACUUUAGAAAUCAGGAUUUUAGAAGAAAGGUAGCAGGCCACAGCUAGCACUUCACCCAACAUCGUUCUGCCAUCUAAGCAGGUCUCCCGGCCCAGCUUUAAGCCUUCUGUUAGGCUUUCCUCCAUGCACAGGAAAAGCACCUGCCAUGGCCAGCUGCCUGCCAGCCACAGAUGUGUUGUGCAGCCAGCCUGGGCUCUGCUUACUGCAGCCCUGCCCCUGUGAACAAGGGGCUGGGCCAAGGCCUCCUCUGCUCCCACCACCUCCUGCUGUGCAGGAGGGUUUGGUGGUGCCCCCGACUCUGAAUUUCCAGCCCCAGAAGAAAGCAAGGUUCCUCGGCAGGGCUUGCAGUCCAGGCAUAGCAUCAGUCAUGAAGCAUGAGGAAGGUCUGACAGCCCAGGCACAGGCAGGCAGGCGGCUUCAGGCUGGUACUGUGAAGUUUGUCUGGUGCUGAAUGUCCAAGUUAACCUGUGCAGUCUCGCUUCACCAUUAAAAUAGUAUUUCUAAAACAUACCGAGGGAAGGUGGAGGAGACAACAAGAACAGUGGGACUGAUAGCCAUGAGGCAGCUGAUGGAUGCAGGGGUAGCAGUCAGAGCAGGUUGCUGUGAAUAGGCGCAGUGCCUAGUUCACGGAUACAGUUCUGGUGCUUACACCUCACCUUUCCUGAGAUCCGAACUCUGCUGGGUCUGCAUUUGACAAAGGAAUUUCUGUCCCCCUUCUGUUCUGCUGCUGUGCAUGGCUGAGAGCCCUCUGUGCAGGUCUGCCAAUGAACCACCCUGCUCAGCCUUACAAGUAUCCCUCAGGUAUAUUGACUACACCCAACAGCUUGGUACAACCUGAAAACUUUCUCAGGGUCUAAGCCUUUUCCUUCUUGCUGAGCUUGUGAGUAGGAUUAGACAAGAUCUCCGAACACAUGACCUCUGGUGAGAGAGGAAAGGUGUUUCUACCCAACUACAUGACUGGUUCAAGUGCUCACUAAGGACAGCGGAAGUCUGGCUUCGGCUGUGGCACUCCAAUUCUUUCAGCACAGUGUAAAGCUGUUUGGGUUUUGCCUUCCCCACUCAGGAAAACGUGCUAUUCUGGAGUACAGCACGGCAUCCUCUGAGCCAGCCCAUCCUACCACGACAAGAUGAAACACUGAGCAGCACAGCAGGACAAGUGCUCCACUAAGCACUGUUAUGACACCUGGAGGGGACAUUCUCGCUGAGUGAGUAGCAGGAAGCAAACUGUCACCUCCCAUGCCACGGCCAAUAGCUCUAAAUGCCAAGACUGGGUCAGAAGGAAAAGGCCUGCCUCCUUUCCCGGCACUUGCUGACGCGUUAGGGCAAGGGGUUUUCAGGUUACAGAAGCAACUUGCCCCUGUGUAUAACAAAUCCCAUCCUGUGCGCAGGAAAACAGCAGUGAGUGUUUACUUAUCACCCUUCAUUCAGGAAACCAUGCAUGAAUGCAAGCACAGGAAGCUGCGUUUUAAAUGUCAAAGUAUGCUGUAAAAGCUUUGUGUCAAUUGCACUUCUUCAAAACAGAAAAAUACCAACAGCUUUGAGAAUAGCACAACAUAAGAAGAAAUUAAAUUAUUUUCUUUUUCUUGUUACGAGUGGCUUUUUUUUUCCCUGCUUAGUUUUUCCUUUCAUUAAGGACAGCAUUGUGAGGUCAAGCACCGAAGAACUGAUACAGUAACAUAUUUUUCACCAGGGAAUUUUGCACAUCAGGAGGAGCUCAUGAUUUAAUUGUAAAUUGGCAUUUGCAUAUUCAUUUAGUCAAAUCCAUUUCCCCUCGUGAUUAGAAAUGCCAUAUGACUGAUAUUCUUCUUCCCUGUAGUUUGACACAGCAUUGACUCACAGCUUGGCUUCAUGAGGAUGCUCGUGAAUGCUAAGGCACAGCACAUGCAGGAAAGCAUGCUUCAUUCCUGUAUGCUCAAGUUGGAGUAAAAUAGCUGCAGUGCUCCAUAACCUGGCUUUCUUCAGGUGACUGGAUGCUGUCUUUGAUCUGAGAAAGCAAUAAUCACAAGGAAAUAUCAAAGAAACUCUCUCCACUUGUAAAUUUGUGAGUUUGAGAUGUGCUGAGGGAAAUAAACUGAUCUUAUCUAAAAUGUAUCAAUUUCUUAUAAUCAUUAUACCAACCCUGAAGACUGACUUAGGCUUUUUGCUGUUGUGUUUCAAAAAUACUGCAUCCACUUUAGGAAAUAAGCCAUCCCUAUACUCAGUGAGCUGCUUCAAAAACGCAUCACUAUCCCUAUUGGUCUUUUUCCCACAGGGAGCAAGAACUGAGCCCUAUGCUUCAUCAAACAUUUAGAGAGGCAUCGCAUGCCCAGCCGCAAUCUUCCUGCUUUUAAAACUUUCUUCCACCUAACCCAGACUUUCCAAACGUGUUCUAAUUGAAAAGUAAGCCCCUGGCAAAUAUGAAAUUUUAAUACUAAGCCACCUGAGAUGUCCAGUGAAGAAGAAAAAUUUUUAAAGAGACUGAACCUGAAAAAAGAUAACCACUGAAGCAACCACUGGAGUAACUGAAAGCCUUAGCAAAAAAGGAUCUAAGUGUUCAACACAGGCUUGGACCUCGAGCACUGCUUUCGUGCUGUGACAGCAUGCAGUGCAUGCAUCGCUUGUGCUCCCUGAAUGUUAGCUGUCCAUGCUUCUCCACAUCUCAAGUUUCAUUUCUUAUGUUUCCAGUUCUACAACAAUUCAUAAUACAAGACAUUGCUCAGUCCUAACCUGCCCAAACAGUCUUUACCCACUGAGAAACUGAAGGCUUCACCCAGUGGACUACUGAGAGGAGGCCAUGAAGAUAUUUGAAAGCCCCUCUUGACAAGAAUCAUAAUCACAGAAUCACUAAGGU